UUGGAAUUGUACAGAAGAUAAGCUCUCAGUAGCAAACAAUCCAAACUUUGAUCAGUCACAUUACUUAUAAAACGAUCUUU
rnacentral:sRNA from 1 species